GCUUACACAUGCAGUCGAACGAUGAAGCCGCUUCGGUGGUGGAUUAGUGGCGAACGGGUGAGUAACACGUGGGCAAUCUGCCCUGCACUCUGGGACAAGCCCUGGAAACGGGGUCUAAUACCGGAUAUGACACACGGAGGCAUCUCCUGUGUGUGGAAAGCUCCGGCGGUGCAGGAUGGGCCCGCGGCCUAUCAGCUUGUUGGUGGGGUAAUGGCCUACCAAGGCGACGACGGGUAGCCGGCCUGAGAGGGCGACCGGCCACACUGGGACUGAGACACGGCCCAGACUCCUACGGGAGGCAGCAGUGGGGAAUAUUGCACAAUGGGCGCAAGCCUGAUGCAGCGACGCCGCGUGAGGGAUGACGGCCUUCGGGUUGUAAACCUCUUUCAGCAGGGAAGAAGCGCAAGUGACGGUACCUGCAGAAGAAGCACCGGCUAACUACGUGCCAGCAGCCGCGGUAAUACGUAGGGUGCGAGCGUUGUCCGGAAUUAUUGGGCGUAAAGAGCUCGUAGGCGGCUUGUCACGUCGGAUGUGAAAGCCCGGGGCUUAACCCCGGGUCUGCAUUCGAUACGGGCAGGCUAGAGUUCGGUAGGGGAGAUCGGAAUUCCUGGUGUAGCGGUGAAAUGCGCAGAUAUCAGGAGGAACACCGGUGGCGAAGGCGGAUCUCUGGGCCGAUACUGACGCUGAGGAGCGAAAGCGUGGGGAGCGAACAGGAUUAGAUACCCUGGUAGUCCACGCCGUAAACGUUGGGAACUAGGUGUGGGCGACAUUCCACGUCGUCCGUGCCGCA
rnacentral:rRNA from 1 species